rnacentral:rRNA from 1 species
CCUACGGGAGGCAGCAGGGGGGAAUAUUGCACAAUGGGCGCAAGCCUGAUGCAGCCAUGCCGCGUGUAUGAAGAAGGCCUUCGGGUUGUAAAGUACUUUCAGCGGGGAGGAAGGGAGUGAGGUUAAUAAGCUCAUUCAUUGACGUUACCCGCAGAAGAAGCACCGGCUAACUCCGUGCCAGCAGCCGCGGUAAUA